rnacentral:rRNA from 1 species
CGGGGUGCACCAGGCGCGAAAACUCUACAAUGCAGGCAACUGCGAUAGGGGAACAUCGAGUGAUACUCAUCUUGGGUGUCUGUCCUCCCGUCUAAAAAACGGGAGUUAGCAAGGGCCGGGCAAGACCGGUGCCAGCCGCCGCGGUAAUACCGGCGGCUCGAGUGGUGGCCGAUAUUAUUGAGUCUAAAGGGUCCGUAGCCGGCUUUGCAAGUCUUUUGGGAAAUCCAGCGGCUUAACCGUUGGUCGUCCGGGAGAUACUACAUUGCUUGGGACUGGGAGAGGUAGGAGGUACUCAGGGGGUAGGAGUGAAAUCCUGUAAUCCUUUGGGGACCACCGGUGGCGAAGGCGUCCUACCAGAACAGGUCCGACGGUGAGGGACGAAAGCUAGGGGCACGAACCGGAUUAGAUACCCGGGUAGUCCUAGCCGUAAACGAUGCUCGCUAGGUGUCACAACAAUCGUGAAUUGUUGUGGUGCCGUAGGGAAGCCGUGAAGCGAGCCACUUGGGAAGUACGACCGCAAGGUUAAACUUAAAGGAAUUGGCGGGGGAGCACAAGGGCGAAUCGC